rnacentral:rRNA from 1 species
AUUGAACGCUGGCGGCAGGCUUAACACAUGCAAGUCGAGCGGGGGGAGGUAGCUUGCUACCUAACCUAGCGGCGGACGGGUGAGUAAUGCUUAGGAAUCUGCCUAUUAGCGGGGGACAACGUUUCGAAAGGAACGCUAAUACCGCAUACGUCCUACGGGAGAAAGCAGGGGACCUUCGGGCCUUGCGCUAUCAGAUGAGCCUAGGUCGGAUUAGCUAGUUGGUGAGGUAAUGGCUCACCAAGGCGACGAUCCGUAACUGGUCUGAGAGGAUGAUCAGUCACACUGGAACUGAGACACGGUCCAGACUCCUACGGGAGGCAGCAGUGGGGAAUAUUGGACAACGGGCGAAAGCCUGAUCCAGCCAUGCCGCGUGUGUGAAGAAGGUCUUCGGAUUGUAAAGCACUUUAAGUUGGGAGGAAGGGUUGUAGAUUAAUACUCUGCAAUUUUGACGUUACCGACAGAAUAAGCACCGGCUAACUCUGUGCCAGCCGCCGCAGUAAGAC